AAGAGAUAGCAUGGUGGACAGGUCACCUGCUUAAUUCCUGCUUAAUUCCAAGUCCUCAGUUUCCCCUUGGUCCCUCUGCCAUCCCCUACACUGAUGUUGAGGUUAUGAAGGUCUCCAUGGCUCUCUUCCUCUAUCAUAGCAGCCAUUGUACUUUAGAGUUAAUGCUAGUGCUCUUUGUGAAGGUCAGCCAGAGAAUACUGACCUUACUACAUCGUUCCUCUAUGUUUAUGCUCGAGAACUGUAUUUAUAAAUAUUUAUGAAUUAUCACAUACGGCUGUAUGACUCUUUAGAUCUAACUCCAAGUACUGUUUUGCUUUUUAAUUUUAAAAAGAUCCACUCCUAUUUUAUAUGUGUAAAUGUUUUGCCCACAGGUAUGUCCAUUUUCUACAUGUAUGCCUGGUAUUCACAGAGCCAGAAGAGGCUAUUGAAAUUAGAGUUACAGAUGAUGUAUACUCAAGAAAUAUCAACAAAAAUACUUCUGAGAAACGGCUGUCCAACCUCUUCAACGAAGUUGCUACCUGUAAUUUCACUUUAUUUUUGGUUCCUCUAGUCAUGGCAAUUUUCUUUUCUGGAUUGCUGGAGCUCACUUUUAAACACUGGCAGGAAGCCUCCAGGAAGCUGGAACAUCCAAGACUGUAGAAAGGCUCUGGUAUGAUUCUUAUGGCUGCCUCAGAAUCAUGAUAAGAAAAGAAAAUGGCAGAGAGCAAAGCAAGAAGCAACAUAUUCAUGGCUCAAACUGGAUGAGCAGAAAAGAACAGAACCCCUCCGUGGAUUAAAUGGGAUACCGCAAAGUCAGGCUUAGUGACUGAAUGAUCGCCAAGUUUAUA